GUGUGAUGGGCCUACCAAAGUGCUU
rnacentral:piRNA from 1 species